AAUAUGAAAGGGACUUGACAACAUUUUGUGACCUAUCUAUGCGCUCUCUUGUCAUACGUUAUGACAACAAAAAAAUAAAAACAAAUUUGUAAAAAAUCUCAUUGGCUACUACUUUCACACAAGGAUUGACAAAUAUUCAUUCCUGUCCAUUGGAUUACACUUUAAUCGAAUGGACCAUAUCUUCAUUUUCAUCUGUUUUUCUUCUCUCCUCUUAAUCCUCUCAAUCUCUCCAUAGCUUCUCUCAAUCUCUGGACGAAAUUGGUAAAACCAAGCUCAAUCUAAUCAUCACUUGUGUCUUCUUCUUUAUCUACAUUGUUUAUCUCUCAAUCUCUCAUCACUUGUGUCUUCUUCUUCUUUGUCCCUACAUGAACAUGAAGUUUGGGUGGAAGAAGACAAAAACGAAGCUCAUGGCUUGGAGGAAAACGACGACAGUGAAGCGCAGGAGCUAUGGCGAAGGAGGCGCUGAAGCGGAGGUGGAGGCGCGGCAGACUCGUCUCGGUCAAGCUCUCUGUUGGCUUCACCUACUCACCACCUUCACAGAUCUGAGAAGCAGCAGUGAUGAAACAGGAAAGAGAAGCAGUGGUGUGACAGAGAGUGUCUCCGGUUAAGGGUGGUGCGUUGGUGAUGCAAAAGCCGUUGGUGGUGCAAAAGCAGUUGGUGGUGCGGCGAUGGUGUGACAGAGCGGCGCUGUGAGAUCCGGUUAGGCCGGGGAGGCGGCUUGAAGCUUGAAGAUUAGGUUUAGUAUUUUUUCUGGUUUUACUUCUUCUUCUUUUUUUAAUUCUGGUUUAGUUUGUCAACCGGAUUUAAUUGUAAACCAAACUUUUAUUUGUAAACCAAAUUCAAUUAUUUUGUAAAAAAAAAUCAAUGUAUUAUAUAUUUCCAUUGUAUUUUGUGAUUUAUAAUUUUUAAAUUUUUAAUAAUGUCAAAAAUAGUGAAAAUUAUAUAUUUUUAAAAAUAUUUUUCAAAACAUUUGCGAGGAAACUGUGUUUCAUAAAUCUAUUGCAAAUUUGCGAGGAACCAUUUUCCAUCGCAAUUUGCAAUGAACCCUUUUCCGUCGCAAAUUUGCGAGGAACCGUCUUCCGUUGCAAAUUUGCGUGGAAACGUUUUCCCUCGCAAAUUUGCAAGGGAAUUGCGAGUGUUUUUUAUUUGCGAGAACGGAUUUGCGACAGAAAAUAUUUACAUCGCAAUUUCCUUGCAAAUCGCAAUUUGCAAGAGAAUUGCGAGACUUUCUUCCCUUGCAACAAACUAGUUUUCUUGUAGUGAUGACUAUACUAUCAUACACUCAUCUUCCAUAUUCAACAUAACACAAUUUUUUUGUAGCUUCGAGUUCGACUCUAGGGUAUGUAAACAGUGUGCAUGACCUCAUGAUUGUCCAGGAUUGGUGUAGGCGUUUAUCCAUGGUGCGUUUCACGGAAUUCGGAAGUGGGACGUUUCAAGAAAAACUGAAUAUUUUCUAGUAAAUUGCUAGUGAUGUGUAUUAUUUAUCAGACGAUGACAUAACUAAUAAGUUUCAAUUUUUUUGGACCAGAUAAUUGAUGAAUAUUGAUAGUAUGACAUCAUGAACGUGCAGCGUAACUAUAUUUUAUACUUUUACAAAAGAAAAACUAUAUUUUAUAAACAAAAUACAUAUAGUAUACACCUUGCAAUAUAUAGAUGUCCCAAAACCGUGGGCGUACACCAGCUUUUUCUUCUUCUUUUUCCCAGUUUUGACAUCAAUAGAUUACUGUAUUUAGGUUGAUCCAAAAAAAAAAAGAUUAGUAAAUUUAGUAUUUAGUACUAUUUACUACUCUCUCUGUUUUUUAAAGAUGAAUGUUCUAGGAUUUUCAGACUUAUUAAGAAACCAUAUUAAAACUUAGUUAUUAAUGCAUAGUUUUUUGUAACUUUAUAUUUCUUAUAUUUUUAAACCAAUAGGAUUAAAAGAAAUGUAAUUAAUAUUUUUGAAACACACAAUUUUUCAUUAUUAGUUGACAAAAUAUGCUUUGAAAACAUGAAAAAUACAUCUUUUGGAAACAAAAUAUUUUUCUAGAACAUCCAUCUUUAAAAAACAGAGGGAGUACUAGUUAGAGAGGAGAGAUAGGUUCGAUUUGGUAUUUGGCAUUUCUAGAAGCUACAAAAGUGUACGGGCGAUAUACACACAUUAAGAAGUUUAUCAAACUAAAGAAAGAAAAUCGGGUAAUAAGUAGCAUGGUGCAUGUGGGCACAGCUAAGACUAUCUCCAAUUGGGUUUAUUCCCAUUGGAUUUCUUAAUACUUGUAUUAUGUUCUUCCCAUUGGAUUUCUUAAUAUAUAUAUUAUAUGUAUAUAUAUGUAUGUAUAUAUUAUAUAUGUAUAAAUAAUUGUGGAAUCCACAAUUAUUGUGGAAACCCAUAAAUAAAGAUUCUUAAAACCCUCUUUUAAGAACCUUUACCAGUUUUUUUUUUUUUGUAACAUGACUUUCUUAUAUAAAUGCAAAAGAAAAUUUCAAGUUUAUCAAACUAAAGAAAGAAAACCGGGUAAUAAAUAGCAUGGUGUAUGUGCACAAAGUUAACCUCAUCAAAAGGCCCAAUUAACGGGGUUUUUUUAACAUGACUUUCUUGUAUAAAUGCAAAAGAAAAUGAAAUGUUUUACAAGCCGAGAUUUUAGUUAGACAGGCCUAGCCCAAUACAUAUGACACAAAGAAAUCCAUAAUUCAGAACCCAAGUGACUAAUCCAGUCAAUAGAAUAGUAGGGGAUCGGGAAAGUUGAUCAUCGACGAAAGUUACGAUGUGGACAGCCAUAACUGCAUCAGGGAAGAGGAAAGAUGUGGGUUUGAGGGCCUGAUUGAGGAGAUCUUGUUUCGAAACAAGUGGUCAAGUUGCCUAAUCAAGGAAUCUUUGGAUCAGAUAAUUUGUAUGUGGAGUCGUGUGUUCCUCUCAGUCCAGACCAGGUAGAUUGUCGCCUGCCAGCAUCAAAGGGAGAGUUGAAAACCAUAGCUUUUUUUGUGGGAGAGUCUGCAUGCAAAGUAGCGUUGAGUUCCAGUCAGGGACAGCAGUCAUCAAGCAUUGAGAAGUUGUUGCAGUCCAAACACUGAAGCUGAAGGGGCAUGUGAAGAGCAAGUGGUCUCUGGUUUCAUCCACCGAGUUACAGAAGAGGCAAGUAGUAGGUGUUUGGAAACCCCAACUAUGGAGCCUGUCUCGAAUGGGACAUCUGUUCAAGACAAAAAGCCCAGCGAGGAAGCAGUGUCUCGGAAUUCCUCUUUUAAUCCAUACCGAUAGAAACCAAGAUACUUUAAGGAGGUUGAGCCAUUCACAUAGCGAGAUGUAAGAGAAGCUUUCCAAGGGAUGCCAAGAUGCGAAGUCUUAGUAGCUGAGAGAUAGUUAGCCAAGUUCCCAAAUAGAGACCAGUUGUCGGACCAAAACCGAGUUUUAGUUAUGUUACCUACUCUUAGUUGAAUCCAUGGGUAAAUUGUUUUCCUUAGCUUCAACAAUAUCCGCGUCAUCCAGAACAUAGAAUGAUUUGGGUUCACUGUCCAGAAGUUACUGAUAUCAUCUUUUAGGAUCUCUGCUCGGAACAAAGCAACCCAAAUCGAUCCUUCCCGAAAAAAAAUGAGCCAGCUGAAUUUAAGACAAGCAGCUUUGUUCCAGCACAGUAGGUCACGUAACCCCAAUCAUCCUUCUUGUUUUGUUUUAGUUACCUCAGACCAUGCCACCCUAACUGAUGCAUGACCUUCCAGGUUACCUUUCCAGAAGAAACAACCGCACAGAGAGUUGAUCAUUGAAAUGCAAGCCUUAUAAAGGAUAAAAACAGAAGACCAAAAGGUGGUGAUGCCAGCAAUCACAGUUUUGAUUAGGAGAAGUCUUCCCGCAAAAGAUAGAGGACAGUUUGUAGCGACGAUAGAGAAGAUUAGCAAAUCCUCUGCAAAACAAAGAUGAGUCAAUUUGGUUUUAGUGCACUGAUAGUGAUAGGAAAAGGAGCUAUGUAGCACGGGGACGUCUAUUUAGGUGCCGUACCGGUACCGGAAACGUUUCAGGGACGGGUACUUCACGGGGACAGCACUGGUACGGCUUGGGGA